CAACUCGCCUGCAUGAAGCUGGAAUUGCUAGUAAUCGCGGAUCAGCAAGCCGCGGUGAAUACGUUCCCGGGCCUUGUACACACCGCCCGUCACACCAUGAGAGUUGGCAACACCCGAAGUCGGUAGUCUAACCGCAAGGAGGACGCCGCCGAAGGUGGGGUCGAUGAUUAGGGUUAAGUCGUAACAAGGUAGC
rnacentral:rRNA from 1 species